AUCUCUUUAUAUAUAGCUCACAACUGGGUUUCUUUCAUAGGUCAAGAUUUGUUUAUUUAUAUGGUUGUGACAAGAAAGAGUAAAGGAAACAUGGAGUUUUGAUCCAAUGACAGUCUCUUCAGAGAAAUAAAAAAACUACAAGGUUUCUCUUCUAUGAGAAGAGCUUUAUGUAGAGAAGUUGCUGUCUCAUUCGUAGAAGCCAUACAGGAAAAAGAUGGAUUACUUUGCGGCCACAGUUUCCUUUUCCAUUUCGUUAUUUUUCACUUUGAUUCUGUCGAGACAAUUUCUUUUGGUUCGUCAUUAAUACCUUGCCAAUCCUCUUUUCUUCUAAAUCUUUCUUCUUCUUUUUUUUUUAUGUGACCUGGUCAAUUCUGAAAUGUCAAAGCAAAAUUUUGAUCAUUUCCCUUUCCUUUUAGUGUAAUUUAACACUUGUUCGAUCUCUUAAUCUAAAACCUAAUAAUUUGCUGUCAAA